GAGGACUUUGAAGGCGGACUUUGAUAUUGCCCGUUUUCAAAUGUUUUCAUAAUUAUCAGAUGUGUUUACAAAAAAUACGGAUGCAGCUGCGUACCCUUACAAACACCUCUUCCUACUGUCAGGGCGUAGAGGAACAUCUGUUCUCGGAGCCGGUCGGCGAGGGCCUUGAGUUCACGGAACGCCAUCCGAGCAGAGGGCACCCACCCGGGUUGAGAAGCAAGUGGAGGAGCUCCAAAGCUCCAUGGAGGAGCUCCAAACCCAGUCGUCUGCCCCGCCCCUAUAGUCAAAAUUACGAGUGUAAACAUUUACAUAUCUGUCUGUUAAAAAACAUGGCUUAGGAAAUAAACAAGUCGAUUGGCCUCUACAGAACAUUUCACCUCGACUCUGGUGUUGAUUUGCACCGGUUGCCUUCUUGGUGAACUCCAUUUUGUACAGGCUGUGCCCGGUCAACCAUAGCGAAGCGUUUUAUUUCGAAUCUAUUCUGAAAAUUCUUGUCAGCGCCGCGUUCCUCCUGCGAGCAUCUUAUCCCUUUUGUUUGGAACAAUUUCGAAUUUCAUGGCUGGAAGCCUACGCACAUCAUUGGAAACACACAGGAAAGAACCGGAACAAAGCAAAGGUGCGUGUGAGAAUAUGUAAACUGUGCAAUUUGCGAACGCAAACUAAUUCGGUCCACAUCAUCAAUAAAAGCAAUGUGUUGUGUGAAGUGAUCACAGAUGGACAUCGACCCGGAGAAAAAAACCUUACGGAUAUCAGCUGUAUUAUUUGAGCUGACAAAAGAUCUCCGCCCCACAGAAAGAUAAAUACCUGUCGGCUGCGAGUUCUGUCUGCUUUCUUCCAACAUCUGUAGCGCACAUGACAAUGCGAGGUAUUUCAACACCUCUGACAAGACCGUUUCUUUUAAAAGGCGAAAGAAAACACACUUCUAAAGUUUGUCCUGGGGGAGAAAAAAAGAGCAAGGUGCUCCGCCUAAAGCAAUUCCCAGAAUAUUUUGCAGUCUGGAUGGGUUGCACAGUGCAUUCCCUGUCCUUUUUGUUAACUUUAACCAGGAAUCUUCGCUUACAAAAAGCCAAAGACAGCUUUUGAAGGUGAGAUUUUUAGUCAGAUCUUAUUGACAUGGACGGAAUCUAAACUUAGGCCAGGUAUGCUUAGCACGAUGGUGAAAGAUGCUUGGUGCGAUGAGCCGUUGUGUGCAACGAAGAAAUCGAGACUGAAGGAAUUUGGUUAGCACUAUUACAUGUUUUUUUGCAUCAGGGAAAUUAAAAGAACUACAAAUCACUUGUUUAA